rnacentral:tRNA from 1 species
CAAAAAGUAGCUUACAACUAAAGCAUUCGACUUACACUCGAACGAUAUUACUAAGGUAAUCUUCUUGA